UCCGUAGGUGAACCUGCGGAAGGAUCAUUAAUAGUGCCCUCUGAUGCAAAUCAUUGGGUUAGAUCUGCUCUCUUCGCAAGAAGAGGGUUUCCAUACACACCGUGAACUGUGGCUUCGGCCAUCACAAACUGUUAGUAAUGAAUGUAAUAUCAUAACAAAAACAAAACUUUUAACAACGGAUCUCUUGGCUCUCGCAUCGAUGAAGAACGCAGCGAAAUGCGAUAAGUAAUGUGAAUUGCAGAAUUCAGUGAAUCAUCGAAUCUUUGAACGCACCUUGCGCCCUUUGGUAUUCCGAAGGGCAUGCCUGUUUGAGUGUCAUGAGACCUCACCCCACUUGGGUUUUUGCCUGAGCGGUGGUGUAUUGGGUGUUGCCUUGCUAAAGGCUCGCCUUAAAGACAUAAGCACCUUGGAUGUAAUACGUUUCAUCCUUCUGGGUGGCUGAUAACCCCACAUAUUCAUGAUCUGGCCUCAAAUCAGGUAGGGCUACCCGCUGAACUUAAGCAUAUCAAUAAGCGGAGGAAAAGAAACUAACUAGGAUUCCCUUAGUAACGGCGAGUGAACCGGGAUGAGCUCAAAUUUGUAAUCUGGUGGACUCAGUUCAUCCGAAUUGUAAUCUAUAGAAAAGUUUUCCGCGCUGGACCGUGUCUAAGUCCCUUGGAACAGGGUGUCAGAGAGGGUGAGAAUCCCGUGCUUGAUACGACCACCAGUGCUAUGUGAUACCUUUUCAACGAGUCGAGUUGUUUGGGAAUGCAGCUCAAAAUGGGUGGUAAAUUCCAUCUAAAGCUAAAUAUUGGCGAGAGACCGAUAGCGAACAAGUACCGUGAGGGAAAAAUGAAAAGCACUUUGGAAAGAGAGUUAAACAGUACGUGAAAUUGUUAAAAGGGAAACGCUUGAAGU
rnacentral:sRNA from 1 species